UACGUAGGGUGCAAGCGUUUAAUCGGAAUUACUGGGCGUAAAGCGUGCGCAGGCGGUUUUGUAAGUUUGUCGUGAAAGCCCCGGGCUCAACCUGGGAAUUGCGAUGAAGACUGCAAGGCUUGAAUCUGGCAGAGGGGGGGUAGAAUUCCACGUGUAGCAGUGAAAUGCGUAGAGAUGUGGAGGAACACCGAUGGCGAAGGCAGCCCCCUGGGUCAAGAUUGACGCUCAUGCACGAAAGCGUGGGGAGCAAACAGAA
rnacentral:rRNA from 1 species